GAUGAACGCUGGCGGCGUGCCUAAUACAUGCAAGUCGAGCGAACAGAUGAGGAGCUUGCUCCUCUGACGUUAGCGGCGGACGGGUGAGUAACACGUGGAUAACCUACCUAUAAGACUGGGAUAACUUCGGGAAACCGGAGCUAAUACCGGAUAAUAUAUUGAACCGCAUGGUUCAAUAGUGAAAGACGGUUUUGCUGUCACUUAUAGAUGGAUCCGCGCCGCAUUAGCUAGUUGGUAAGGUAACGGCUUACCAAGGCAACGAUGCGUAGCCGACCUGAGAGGGUGAUCGGCCACGCGGGAACUGAGACACGGUCCAGACUCCUACGGGAGGCAGCAGUAGGGAAUCUUCCGCAAUGGGCGAAAGCCUGACGGAGCAACGCCGCGUGAGUGAUGAAGGUCUUCUGAUCGUAAAACUCUGUUAUUAGGGAAGAACAAAUGUGUAAGUAACUAUGCACGUCUUGACGGUACCUAAUCAGAAAGCCACGGCUAACUACGUG
rnacentral:rRNA from 1 species